GAAUUAAUGGGGAUGCAUAAUUUAAGGGUGCGUUUGGCUGCCAGAAGCAAGAACUAACUAUAGAUGAGAACCAAUUGGGGUCACUAUCCACAGAGAUGGCCAGUUGGGCUGCUGCAAUGUCUCAGUGACUGCGAAGCUUCAGUGGAGUCAAUUCUUCAUUUCCCUUUUAAUUUUGCAAGUUGAUUUCAUAAAAGGAUAAAUGGGUAGAUACAUUUGGUAAACCCCAACUCAACUGUGUGAAAUGUGAAUGGAAUCCAAAGAGAGUGGGAGAAAGAGAUGCAUAAUUGUGGGUUUGGUUUGGUUUCAUUUAGUGGGUGAAUGCUAUUCGUUGAAGCCAUCUUUUUUAUAACUCAGAAAUCUGAGCAACUAGGCGUUUGAUUGGUGGAACCAGGUUUUGCCAUCAGAUACAUGCCAAUGCUGUGUUUGAUGUUAUCCACAACCCAAAACCCCCCACCCCCAGCAGUCAGGUACUCAGAACUAUUAUAUAUAUAUAAAUAUAUUAUAUGUGUGGGUAUGUGUAUUCUUCAAUUCUAUCAUAUGGGUAUGCAUCCAUGUGAGUAAUAUUAUUAACAUUAAAGAUUUUUUUUUCUGUCAUCUUCUUUCUAUAUUUAUGAUGUGAAUAAAUUGUAUGCCACACACAUGUUGUAGUUAAUUUUUGUUGAAAUUGGAAUUUAAGUGCCUAGAGGUGUUCAAAAUGCUAUGCUUGCCCGCUUGGCAAGUAAGGGGGUAAACCUUAUGAACCCUGUUUGUGUUUUUUUUAAAAAUAAUUUUUGGGCUUCUGAAAACUCUGUUUAUGCUUGUUUGAUUUCCCAUUUUAUGGUAAAGAAUAAUCUCCAAGCAUGAGAAGGUGAGGAUUUUGUUACAGGGAAAGCCUUUUCUGUCAUGCUUUUAAGUUCAAUCGAGUACUUUUUCCUUCUUUUUUUUGAAAACCUAUACUAUUACGAUUCAAUUCUAGGGGUACAUUUUAUCCUAGUGCUUAGAGGGAACCUGGGAAAGGAGCCAUGAGGGAACUAGGGGAACCUAGUAGAGGAAAUUUACCUUGAAUCUUCUGUAGCGCCUGUUGAAGAGGUAGAUUUGAACUUGUGACCUUGCACAACAAAAGAAGAGUCCUUUAUCACUAGGUUAUCACCUUUGGUCUGGUUUAAUCGAGUACUAAGCGCUGCCUUAAGUUAUUCAUAAGGGAGCUAAUAGAUUUAUGGUAAUAAAAUUUGUUCAUAUACUUUAAGAAUCCGACCCUUUUUUUACCUUAUUUAUGUUGAAAAUCUAAUAACUUAAAAUUGAGAAAACAAAAUGAUUUGUGAAUAAGGUAAAAUUUGUUAUUCUUAGUCUUAGGAAUGUAGUGUGAUGCCAACGUAUAUUAUUGCGGUGAUGAAAUAUCUGGACUUCUAGUUAGUGUUCAUCCGUCAUCAUCACCCAUAACAAUUUGGAAAAAUUAACUACGAG
rnacentral:lncRNA from 1 species